UAAUUUAUACAAUGCUAUUCUCAAACAACCAUAAUGAAUGCAAGAUGUAACAACGAUACAUGAAACGUUAAACAGAGAGCAACGAGCUAUUCACCAAAGAAAUGCUUACCUUCCUGGUUAUGAUGAACAAAGUUGUCUUAAAGGACCUUAAGACAAUGACCACUACUACAGCUGGGAAUAGAUGGUUACAGAAAAUCGUCGACUAUGCUUUUCCUCCCUUUUGCUCUAGUUGUCCC
rnacentral:lncRNA from 1 species